rnacentral:rRNA from 1 species
UCGGCAAUGGGCGAAAGCCUGACCGAGCGACGCCGCGUGCGGGAUGAAGGCCUUCGGGUUGUAAACCGCUGUCGUUGGGGAGGAAAUGCAGGGGGGUUCUCCCCUCUGUUUGACCUAUCCAAGGAGGAAGUACGGGCUAAGUUCGUGCCAGCAGCCGCGGUAAGACGAACCGUACAAACGUUAUUCGGAAUUACUGGGCUUAAAGGGUGCGUAGGCUGCGCGGUAAGUUGGGUGUGAAAGCCCUCAGCUCAACUGAGGAACUGCACUCAAAACUACCGUGCUCGAGGGAGACAGAGGUAAGCGGAACUCAAGGUGGAGCGGUGAAAUGCGUUGAUAUCUUGAGGAACACCGGUGGCGAAGGCGGCUUACUGGGUCUUUUCUGGCGCUGAGGCACGAAAGCUAAGGUAGCAAACGGGAUUAGAUACCCCGGUAGUCUUAGCUGUAAACGAUGAGCACUUGUUUGAAGGGUCCUCCAUAGCCUUUCAGACGUAGCGAAAGUGUUAAGUGCUCCGCCUGGGGAGUAUGGUCGCAAGGCUGAAACUCGAAGAA